rnacentral:rRNA from 1 species
GUAGGGUGCGAGCGUUGUCCGGAUUUAUUGGGCGUAAAGGGCUCGUAGGUGGUUGAUCGCGUCGGAAGUGUAAUCUUGGGGCUUAACCCUGAGCGGUGCUUUCGAUACGGGUUGACUUGAGGAAGGUAGGGGAGAAUGGAAUUCCUGGUGGAGCGGUGGAAUGCGCAGAUAUCAGGAGGAACACCAGUGGCGAAGGCGGUUCUCUGGGCCUUUCCUGACGCUGAGGAGCGAAAGCGUGGGAGCGAACAGGCUUAGAUACCCUGGUAGUCCACGCUGUAAACGGUGGGUACUAGGUGUGGGGUCCAUUCCACGGGUUCCGUGCCGUAGCUAACGCUUUAAGUACCCCGCCUGGGGAGUACGGCCGCAAGGCUA